AAGACUUGGCGGUGCCCUACACCACCUAGAGGAGCCUGUUCUAUAAUCGAUAAUCCCCGAUCAACCUCACCAUCCCUUGCCAAUACCGCCUGUAUACCUCCGUCGUCAACUGACCCCUCAAGGGAAAUAGUUGGUUUAAUGGCUUAUCACCAGAAAGUCAGGUCAAGGUGCAGCGUAUGAGAUGGGAAGAAAUGGGCUACAUUUUCUACCUUUAGACUACACGAAAGAUCACUAUGAAAUCUGAUUGGAAGGCGGAUUUAGCAGUAAAAAGAGAUUAGAGCGCUCUUUUUAAGUUGGCCCUAGGGCGCGCACACACCGCCCGUCACCCUCUUCAACUCCAAAUUCACAUAUUUAUAAUCUCCCUCAAAGAGAACAGAAGAGGCAAGUCGUAACAUGGUAAGUCCACCGGAAGGUGGACUUGG
rnacentral:rRNA from 1 species